GAGCCAUUAGCUCAGUUGGCAGAGCACUUGACUUUUAAUCAAGGUGUCCGGAGUUCGAAUCUCCGAUGGCUCACCA
rnacentral:tRNA from 6 species